GUGGGGAAUCUUAGACAAUGGGCGCAAGCCUGAUCUAGCCAUGCCGCGUGAUCGAUGAAGGCCUUAGGGUUGUAAAGAUCUUUCAGUGGGGAAGAUAAUGACUGUACCCACAGAAGAAGCCCCGGCUAACUCCGUGCCAGCAGCCGCGGUAAUACGGAGGGGGCUAGCGUUGUUCGGAAUUACUGGGCGUAAAGCGCACGUAGGCGGAACAGAAAGUCAGAGGUGAAAUCCCAGGGCUCAACCUUGGAACUGCCUUUGAAACUCCUGGUCUUGAGGUCGAGAGAGGUGAGUGGAAUUCCGAGUGUAGAGGUGAAAUUCGUAGAUAUUCGGAGGAACACCAGUGGCGAAGGCGACUACCUGGACUGAUACUGACACUGAGGUGCGAAAGCGUGGGGAGCAAACAGGAUUAGAAACCCGAGUAGUCC
rnacentral:rRNA from 1 species